GGCAGUGUGGCUCAAGUGGUAGAGCAUCUGCCUAGUAAGCACAAGGCCUAAGUUCAAACCCCAGUACUGCCA